AAGGAGUCUAACAUGUGUGCGAGUUUUUGGGUGGCAAACCCAUGAGCGUAAUGAAAGUGAAUGCAGGUGGGAUCCGCAAGGAGCACCAUCGACCGGCCCUGAUGUUCUCGGAUGGGCCUGCGUAAGAGCAUAUAUGUUGGGACCCGAAAGAUGGUGAACUAUGCCUGAAUAGGGCGAGGCCAGAGGAAACUCUGGUUGAGGCUCUCAGCGGUUCUGACGUGCAAAUCGAUCGUCAAAUUUGGGUAUAGGGGCGAAAGACUAAUCGAACCAUCUAGUAGCUGGUUCAUGC
rnacentral:misc_RNA from 1 species